CUAUCUAAAAUAUAUGAAACCCAGCUGUACCCAAACCACCUUGGGCACAUGUUCUCAGGACCUCCUGAGGGCUGUAUCAUGGACCAUGUUCACCCAUACUUGGCUCAGAAUAAAUCUCUUAAAAUAUUUUACAGAAUUUGACUCUUUUUGUUGACACUCUUAGAAUAUUAGGUCUUAAAUUUUAUAACAGUGUGUUUAAGUCUACAUAACAGACAUCAAUUGGGUGUCUGUAGGCUUCUAAUGCACAGAGAGCUCACUCAAAUUUUUUGUGUUAUUUUAAAGAGGCAAGAAAUCAUGACUGGUCAGGUACGCCAAGAAUCUUCAGGGAAUACCAUAUGAGUCUGAAGUGUAGUUACAUGGGAGGAAUUUCCCACUGUGAAUUUACCCUUCUUUAAUGGAAAGUUGAGUUUAUAAUAAUAGUGGUAUGUGCAUAAUGGCAGAUGAUGUUUUAGUGAAUUAGUUGUUACUGUAAAAUUUUACAAAACCUUGCCAUUUCAUUAUUAAAAUAUAGUGUAAAUAAAAUUUAUGGAAAAUAUAAUAUGGUAAACCAUAUUAGACAUUUUGUGGAAAAAAAUUGCUUAUUUUUAGGCAGGAAGGUACUGCUAAAGACUGGGUUCCCAUUUAUUAAUUUUGUGUUUUCAUAAAACAUUAGUGUAUUUUUCACAAUGCUUAAGUCCCAGCUACACAGAGUAAACUUAAAAGGAAACUAGGUCAUUAAUUAAUAAGAUACAUUUACUUGUGAGUAAUUUCUUGUAACAGCUUUAUUGAGGUAUAACUUACAAACCAUGAAAUCCACCCAUUUAAAGUAUACAGUUAAUGGUUUUGAAUAUAUUUACAAAUAUGUACAGCAAUCAUUACUAUUUAGUUCCAUAAUUUUUAUCACCUGCUUGGAGUAAUUUAAAUAAAAACUUGAAAAUGCCCUUUGAAAUGAAUAAUUUUUUAUUGAAUUUUUAAUGUAACUGAUGUAUUCUUAAAGCAUCAAGAUCAAAUCAUAGGUAAGAUAAAUAUGCAAGAUAGAAUAGCCCCCAUAAUUGUUGUGGAGGUAUCUGUGAAUCAUAGGAAUCACAUUUUAUAGAGCAGCUAAGACUUGAAUAUAUAAAGGAUCUCCAAGGUUGCCUAUAUCCACAUUCAUAGAAGUGCUAUUUUCUUUUAGAUUUACCAAUCAACUUUAUAGGAUUUUCAUGUGAAAAGAGUAAUGAACCUUUUUGUGGGGCUUGUAUGUUUGGAGUGAACAGAAACACUGCAGAAGGGCCUCUGCGCCUAGAAAUUGCAUAGUAGAAUCUAGAAAGAGGAGUGAUUUGUACAAGAAUACUCCUGUGAAUUGUGUAUUUAUUAGUUUUUAUGUUUGUGUGCUAGAAAAGGUCCACUCAAGAGUCUACUGUUUUUGAAGUGUAAUAAAAUUCUAAAGAGUUAAGAAUAUUCAAAAUUCCAGUGGAAAAGGCAAAAUGGGCCUAAAAUAAGUCAAAACUAAAUGAAGUAUACUUUUGUAAUUUGCUGGAUGCCUCCAUUAAAUGAGUAUGUGUUCAUAUUUAGAAAAUCUUAUCAAGAAUUUGUUGUAUCUAUAAAAUGUAAGGGUCUCUUUAAAGUAAUAUAUGGAUGUAAAAAAUUGUGGUUCCCUAGAAGAAAGCAGGUCUAUUAGGGAGGAUUUUUUCUUAGUUCAUUUAGAGAAGCUUCUUUAUGGAAUUUGAGUACAUCAUCAAAUUCCUGGACCUGUGAUUCAUGCAAUAUUUAAAACAACAGGAAAUCUUUUAAGACAAAGUUAGUUUUCUACAUCUGCAGAGAUAAAUUUGAGGGCAUGAUGUAUACUUUAUAAUCAGAAAAGAUCUUCAUGGAAAUAAUUUGUCCACAUCAAUGAGAGAUACCCUUUGAAUAAUACUUUUAUUAUCUUUCUUGAAGGGGUAAUUUAAUAAGACAUGUAAUUUUAAGGCUCAGAGACCACAUCAUUGAACAUCUAUGUGCGCAUCCUGGAGAAGUCCCACUUACUGAAAGCCAAUAAAACUUUUCUUUUGAGUGAUUUGCAGCUUUUAACAAGUAAGUAAAAUAUACUCCUGUGAACAAAAUUUGGAGCAUAUUUGUUUCUCUCUACCUGAUUUCUCCAGAAUUUGGAAACUAUUUGUGAGUAUUCUUAACUUAUGACAAUAUAGUUAUUUGCAUAAGUGCAAUAAGAAUGUUUUCUUUUGUAACAGGACAAAAUAAAAGAAACCAGUUAUUUUACCAAGGCUUUGACUGGAAUGGCAUGCUUUCCUUUAAGGAAUCGAAUUUGGCUUACAGGGCCAAUAAAAGCCCCUUGGGAAAACUGGCCUCAUACCCUGUCUACACUGUCCCGUACAGGGUUCCUGACCUGUAGUAAAUAAAGAAUGUCACUUUCUAACAGGCCCAGGAGCCCUAGGUUAUCUUGGGACCUCGAAAAAAGAGGAAUUUACCUAACUGAUAAAUAUUUGAUAGUACAAACCUAUGGCUAGGCUUGGCUUUGGAAAAAAACCUUAUCUGAGAUUCCUUUUGUGGAACAAAGUCCAAUCAAAGCCAAUUUAAAAAGCCUAUGUGAAAAAUGAUUAUUUUUGCUGUACUUUACACAAAUAAUCAGGCUAAGUGUAAGACUAUGGCGUAUUUUUGCAAACAAAUCAGCCCUGUUAGGAUUUGUCUUUAGUAAAAAUGGGAGAAUGGAGAGAUAGAAAAAACAUAUUUUAAAAACAAUGGUACACUUGUUAUAAAAUUGUGAUCUCAUCAGUUAUUUUUGAGUUUUCUUUCUACGAUUUAGACUGAACCUGCUUAUUUCUGUGAACCAACCAGUGAUCUCUUAUGGCUGUUCAAAAGUAACAAGAGAGAUAUCACCUUUUGUCAUAACUCAAGUCUUAUGAAUGGCCCUCACCAUAAUGAUGCUUUUUGACUGAGCUCUUCUCUAACCUGAAUGCAAGAGGUUAGGCAUGAAUAUCAUCCCCCCUGUUCAGCCUGAAGAAGUUACAGAAGAUGAAUCUUCCACUCUCUACAGCCCUUAGGAUUAAGGGUUCUCUUACUGAAUGUAUUCUUAAACUGAACACUUAUUAAUCUUCCAGAUAUCACCUUUUGUCAUAACUCAAGACUUAUGAAUGGCCCUCACCAUAAUGAUGCUUUUUGACUGAGCUCUUCUCUAACCUGAAUGCAAGAGGUUAGGCAUGAAUAUCAUCCCCCCUGUUCAGCCUGAAGAAGUUACAGAAGAUGAAUCUUCCUCUCUCUACAGCCCUUAGGAUUAAGGGUUCUCUUACUGAAUGUAUUCUUAAACUGAACACUUAUUAAUCUUCCAGAUAUCACCUUUUGUCAUAACUCAAGACUUAUGAAUGGCCCUCACCAUAAUGAUGCUUUUUGACUGAGCUCUUCUCUAACCUGAAUGCAAGAGGUUAGGCAUGAAUAUCAUCCCCCCUGUUCAGCCUGAAGAAGUUACAGAAGAUGAAUCUUCCUCUCUCUACAGCCCUUAGGAUUAAGGGUUCUCUUAUAAAAGGGAGGGGGUAAAUAUGUCAGAGGCAUUUGAACCAGAGAAACUCCAUCUUGAAUAGUCCCUGUGUAAAAUAAGACUGAGACCUACUGGGAUGCAUUCCCAGGAGGUUAGGCAUUCUAAUUCACAGGAUGAGAUAAGAAGUCUCCACAAGAUACAGAUUAUAAAGAUUUGGCUGAUAAAACUGUUUGUGAUAAAGAAGCUGGCCAAAACACACCAAAACCAAGAUGCCAACAAAAGUGUCCUCUGGUUGUCCUCACUGCUCAUUAUAUGCUAAUUAUAAUGCAUUAGCAUGUUAAAAGACACUCCCACCAGUGCAAUGACAAUGUACAAAUGCCUUGGCAACAUCAAGAAGUUACCCUAUAUGGUUUAAAAAUGGUAGGAACCCUCAGUUCUGGGAAUUGCCCACCCCUUUUCUGGAAAACUCAUGAAUAAUCCACCCCUUAUUUAGCAUAUAAUCAAGAAAUAACUGGAAGUAUCCUUAGUGAAGCAGGCCAAGCCACUACUCUUCCUAUGGAGUAGACAUUCUUUCAUUAGUUAACUUUAUUAAUAAACUUGCUUUCACUUUA